rnacentral:rRNA from 1 species
ACUCGAGUGGCUAACGGGUGAGUAACACGUGGGUGAUCUGCCCUGCACUUCGGGAUAAGCUUGGGAAACUGGGUCUAAUACCGGAUAGGAGCCAUCUUUAGUGUGGUGGUUGGAAAGUUUUUCGGUGUAGGAUGAGCUCGCGGCCUAUCAGCUUGUUGGUGGGGUAAUGGCCUACCAAGGCGGCGACGGGUAGCCGGCCUGAGAGGGUGUACGGCCACAUUGGGACUGAGAUACGGCCCAG